AAUUUUUCUUUGCGUAUUUGUUUUUAUUGUGCUUUAUUGUUGUUGUGUGGAUCAUGAUUUUCCUUUGUGAAUGACAAAAUAAAAUAUUUCUUGUUCUUCGCUGGCUUUGGAGCGCCAGCAACGAAUUGUGCGGAGGUCCGUCAGUUGUUCGCGUACAGCGGUGGCGAAAGGAAGAAAAGUGCAAUUGGGAGCGUGUUGUUUGGCGCUGCCAAAUCGUCCCAACAUUAAACAUUGACAUUGCGAGCACGAAAGUUAUUUAUUUAUUUUCUGUUUGCGGAAGGCGGCGCAGGGUGGACAAAGAAUGAAAAUAAAAACGGACAAAGUGUUGAGCGUGAAAAAAUUCAUUUAAAAUAGUAAAAGAAAAAGAAAAUUCGUGUUGUGAGAAUAAACAGAAGCGCGUGAGAUCUGUGAUAUUUAUCAAACAAUUAAUAAAAACUAAGUAGCGAAAUAUGUAAAUAAUGUGGAAUUUCAUAUUUGUGUACAUACAUAUGUAUGUGCAUACGUAAAUAAAAGAUCUUAAAUGUUUGAAAGGAGAGAGACGAUAUCGUGAAAUUUAAGAAAAACAAUUGUAAAGUUUAUAGUAUACCUAACACAUGCUGAAAGGAUAAAUUGGAAAGGACAUUUAACAUAUACAUAUAUGUACAUAUGUAUAUACUAGCACUUGUGCUUGCUUUCGACAUGUAGACAACAGCAAAGUUCAUGUUCCUGGUAUUUGCACGCCCUUGACGACGACGUCGCCGACGACUUCGUGAGCUUCGUCAUCGAUGGCGCGCCAGUGCGUCAUGCAAGUAACGAUUCUUUCGCUUUUGGCUGGCUUCAUUCAUGAGCGCCUUUUGGCAACCGUUAGCAAUGAUGAUGUCCACAAAAGGCUGACAUCCGUGCCGAAGGGAAGAUUUAAAAGCGGAUGAAAACUAUUAAUUGCACACGAUGUGUGUAUUUUUAUUUCGCCAUAGCAAGAAUAAAUGAACCGAGGAGUUGGAAUUGCAUGCUGCUGCAUAUGAAGAAUUUUCUUUUUGUACAGAUAUUUCAUCCUUUAUCACUCUUCACUCACCUCUUUGCUCAUGUAGAGCUGCAGCACUUGGGUACGAUUGACAGUUAAAGUCAAAUUUAAUAUAUGCAACGUGUGCAUGUGUGUGCGCAUUAGAUACUCACAUACAGCCCUUAUUGGAAGCUACAGUUACAAGUACAGUGAAGAGCAAAAACUUGUCCUUUAUAAUUCAUUCUGAAUAUUUUUCUUUUUUUUUUUUGUAAGCAAAUUUGUAACAAAUUCUCUAUAACGGUAAGUUCGUUG